AGUGAACGCUGGCGGUAGGCCUAACACAUGCAAGUCGAACGGCAGCACAGGAGAGCUUGCUCUCUGGGUGGCGAGUGGCGGACGGGUGAGGAAUACAUCGGAAUCUACUCUGUCGUGGGGGAUGACGUAGGGAAACUUACGCUAAUACCGCAUACGACCUACGGGUGAAAGCAGGGGAUCUUCGGACCUUGCGCGAUUGAAUGAGCCGAUGUCGGAUUAGCUAGUUGGCGGGGUAAAGGCCCACCAAGGCGACGAUCCGUAGCUGGUCUGAGAGGAUGAUCAGCCACACUGGAACUGAGACCCGGCCCCGACUCCUACGGGGGGCAGCAGUGGGGAAUAUUGGACAAUGGGCGCAAGCCUGAUCCAGCCAUACCGCGUGGGUGAAGAAGGCCUUCGGGUUGUAAAGCCCUUAUGUUGGGAAAGAAAUCCAGCUGGCUAAUACCCGGUUGGGAUGACGGUACCCAAAGAAUAAGCACCGGCUAACUUCGUGCCAGCCGCCGCCGUAA
rnacentral:rRNA from 1 species